rnacentral:lncRNA from 1 species
AUUUUGGGAUACCUGAUAAUGUUUAUCAUUAGUCCAAAAAAAGUGUACUUUCGGAGAACAAUCUAUUUUACUCGUAAAAUGAAAUAGAAUAACAUAUCAACCCCACUACAUAUUCAACCAUAUAGGAUUUUAUUAAAAAUAGAACACUGAUAUAGACUUGCUAGAUACAGGUUGCUACAAAACUAAGAACUUUCAAUUCAUUU